rfam:Salmo salar isolate Sally breed double haploid chromosome ssa15, whole genome shotgun sequence.
UGUCUGCAUGACUGUAAGUUGCUUUGGCUAAAAGCAUCUGCUAAAUGUCAUUAA